ACCCUAGGGUUUUGGAUGCCUAUAUAUACUCAUUAUAACCCCUAGAUCAUAUCAUCACCUCCCAUAUACAUCAUUCACGUCAGAAACAAAGAGGCUCUCUUUGCCGCACCUUUCCACCACCAUAUUCCAUAUUUUCUGCCCAAAAUCAUCCCUAGCCGUACCCCCAUCAACCCUAAACCUUUCCAUACCAUUCCCCAUCCAUUCUACACCACAAAUAACCCAAAAAACCUGUUCUAAAGUUCUCUGCCGCAGCAAGGAGGAAGGAGAAUUCGUUGGAUGCGCUUGCUGCCAAGUUGGAGCGUUCUAGGUGUUUUCUUUCUUUGGAUUUUAAUUUCUAAAUUUAUGUAUCUUUGCUUUGCGAGUAUGAGGAACUAAACCCCCCCUUGGCUAGGGGGGGAUUCGAAACCAUGUUUAUGCUUGCUAUAUGAUUUGAUUACUUCUAAUUGCGUUUCAUAAGUUGUGAAUUCAAUUUACUUAUCUACAAGAAUUAAAACUGAUUUGUGUAUGUUGGUUGAGGGUCGACACUUAAUUUGCAUGCAUAAAUUUGAUGCUAGGAUAUAAGGAAAUUUCACCUAAUCGUUAUGGACUUAUAUUCAUAAGUAGUAAAGGUUGAUGAUCUCAAUCGCGUUAAGUAAAUUCUUGGCAUAAGUUUCAUGCAAUCAUAGUAACAAGUGCUUCGUCAAUGCUUAUGGUUUUCAUAGAACUUAAUGAUUCUUGCUUGUAUCUCUAUUAUGCAAUCAUGUAGGGGACUUGUGGGGAAUGCUUUGGGUUGUCGUAUGCAAUCAUCCAAUUCAAUAACGUUAGGAAAAUCGGAAGGUUAAUUUAAGCGGACCUAAUUAACUUGGGGCGUUGAGAAUUCUUGGGUUAUUAAAAAGCAAUUGGAAAUCGUUUUGAAUGCAAGUAUAACAUGUGUGGAGAUGAACCCCUUAGCUAGCUUUCUAUUCAUUCAUUUAAACCAAAUUCGUUUUAAAAUCUGUUCGUUUUACAAAGUUUUGUUUUGUUUUCAAAUUCGUCCAAAAUCAAUCCCCCUCUUCUUUGUUGAGUCAUAUUAGUUAGAAGUCAAGUUAGUUUGUGUUUUUAAGUGUUUUGAGUCAAGUUAAAACCUAUUUUCGUCAAAAUCUUGUUUAGAGUUCAAAACUGCCCAGAAAGUGGUUUUAAGGCAGUUUUGAGUGUUUUGGUGCUGUUUUGAGUCUUUUGGUUUGUUUUGGUAUUUUAAAGUUUAGUUUUGCAUUCUUUGAGUCUAGUUUAGUGUUUUAAACUUGUUUUUACGUAAUUGAGUCAGUUUUCAAGUGAUUUUGCAAUCCCUCCUAAUCCCCGGCCUAGAACGAUCCCUACUUACAUACUUACUACAAUUGAUAAAAAAAGGGUUAAUUUGAGUGCUAGUUAAAUUUUCACAUCAGAUACCCAUGUUGUCAAUUUUUUAGUUUUCCUCUUUCCAUGGGAUUCAUUAUUAAGCCUAAUCCCUUAAUUUAAGGAAUAUUGACAGCUAGUUGACUUGUUGAUACUUGUGUGCUAGUUGCUUGCCGCACUCCCUUAAUUUAAGGAGUGACAAAUUUAUGGUUUACCCGGUAAGUAGAGUUUGUCAAGGGAAGGUGCUUGUAACCAUCUCCCUCAUUUUAUAUAUGCCCUUUUGUACAUUCAUUCAAUCUAUGAAAACAUACAUUUAAAUCAACUUAUAUUUUCACAUGGUAUUAGAGUAGUGUCAUCCUUGACUUGUCUCUACCAAUUUCGUCUCCAAUCUUGUUCCAUGGCUGAAGAAAGCUUGGUGCAUCUGGAAGGCGACAGUGAUGCGAAAAUUACUUAACACACAAAUUAAACCCUCUUGUAUCAAUUGUAGUAAAGAAUGUAAGUAGGGAUCGUUCUGGACCGGGGAUUAUGAGGGCUUGCUAAUAACCUCUAAACUGACUUAAAAACAUAAAAUUAAGUUUAAAACACCAAACUAGACUCAAAAGAUGCAAUACAAACUAAAAAGACUCAAAACUAGUUUAAAAGACUCAAAAUAGCUUAAAACAAUGAAUUAGACUCUAAACUGACUCUAGGGAUGGUUUUGGACGAAAUUAGGUUCUAACUUGACUCAAGACACUUAAAAACACAAAUCAAAAUAGAUUUUGACUAAUAAAACACUUUAAAGUAAAGGGGGAUUUGAUUUUGACGAAUUUGAAAACAAAACAAACAGAUUGUAAACUAAAACAGAUUUUGGACGAAUUUGGGUAAACUAUGGAUGAUGGGCUAGCUAGAGGGUUCUUCUCCACACAUGACACACUUGCACAUAAACCAAUUUUCAGUUGUUCUUUCGAUAAAUCAUGAAACUCAACACCCCAGGUUAAUUAAGUCCGCUUAAAUUAACCUUCAAGUUCUCCUUAAGUUAUUGAAUUGGAUGGGAAAACGCAUACAACAAUUCAAGCAUUCUUCAAAAGUCCUUUUCGUGAACAGCACAAUAAAGAUACAAUCAAAGAUUAUUAAGCAUUAUGAAAACUAUAAGUAUUGACGAGGCAUUCGUUACUAUGAUGAGCAUAAAAACUCCUGCCAAGAAUUCAUUUAAUGUGAUCGUUUAUAAGCGACCUCCACUACUUGUGAAUAUAAGUUUGUAACUAUUAGGUGAAACUCCCUUAUA
rnacentral:lncRNA from 1 species